AGUGAACGCUGGCGGUAGGCCUAACACAUGCAAGUCGAACGGCAGCACAGGAGAGCUUGCUCUCUGGGUGGCGAGUGGCGGACGGGUGAGGAAUACAUCGGAAUCUACUUUUUCGUGAGGGAUAACGUAGGGAAACUUACGCUAAUACCGCAUACGACCUACGGGUGAAAGCAGGGGACAUUCGGGCCUUGCGCGAUUGAAUGAGCCGAUGUCGGAUUAGCUAGUUGGCGGGGUAAAGGCCCACCAAGGCGACGAUCCGUAGCUGGUCUAAGAGGAUGAUCAGCCACACUGGAACUGAGACACGGUCCAGACUCCUACGGGAGGCAGCAGUGGGGAAUAUUGGACAAUGGGCGCAAGCCUGAUCCAGCCAUACCGCGUGGGUGAAGAAGGCCUUCGGGUUGUAAAGCCCUUUUGUUGGGAAAGAGAUCCAGCUGGCUAAUACCCGGUUGGGAUGACGGUACCCAAAGAAUAAGCACCGGCUAACUUCGUGCCAGCCGCCGCGGUAA
rnacentral:rRNA from 1 species